rnacentral:lncRNA from 1 species
UUUGUUUAACAAAAUAAAUCAAGCACUUCAAACAUUUAUUUUUAUUUAUCUUCAUGUCCAAAGUUAGACCCACUCAAAGCUGCAUAACAAAUCAUUUCAAAAGCAUGGCCCAACACGUGAGGUCCCACAGUUCGGCAGAGUAAAAGUAACGAAGUCCAUUGAGAUCCCUCCCCACUGGCCUUACUAUUUGCAAACAAGGCAUGACAAUGGGCUAGCAUCAUCCAAAAGCUACCACUGUACCUCUACGCCAUUGGCCUACAACACAGUUUCCGCACUGUUUUCAUAUACUUAGAAGAUGCUCAUAGUUGACUCAUAGCCUGCCAGUAAUAUCCAGAACUUCAGAAGCAGAAAAUGGUGAAAAAGGACCCACAAAAGCAGAGGCAAAGACGGACUUUUUCCAGCUUCAUCUCACAAAAUACCAGUGAAGUAACGAAGUAGAGAUUUGUACUUGCGGAUCUUACUGAGCCUGGAAUCAUGGGAUCGCGAAAACAAGGAUAGAUCAAUAAGGUACUAAUCCAAAGUUGUUGCGAUCCCUGCAGUGGACCAGUGCCAUCCACAAGUGAGUGUUGUAAUGUUUUAGUUUUUAGUUUUUAAUUUUUAAUUUUUUCCAUUUGGGGAAGACGAUCUAUUGUGCAGGAAUAGUUCCAAGGAACUGACAUGAGUUUUGUAUGCACAUAACUGCUCACAGUUGGAUCUCCACUGUUGCUGAAUCAACAUGACGGGACUCGCCG